UAAUACACAGACUGAUUAAAAACAAAAGUAAAUUUCAACUUAUGAAAAUACAUAUUCAUUGUCGGAUUAGCUUUCUAUCAUGAUCUCGUAAGGCUGCGUUUCCACCAGAGAUGUGCGAGGAUGCGUAGCGAAGGAUGUGUUUGUAAAGAACCAAUAGAAUCGCUUCAUUUACCUCGCCUCGGUCAGCACAUCUCUGGUAGAAAAGGCUCAGGCUGUACAACACUAAUGAGCAUUUUCAAAAUCUCUGCUACACAUCCUCGUACGAUACAUUUUCCUCGCACAGCUUUGGUGGAAACCCGCACACAUUUUCACAGCACAGCUAGACAUCUUCGCACGACACAAUUCCCUCGCAUAUCUCUGGGAAACGCAGCAUCCUCUCCCUCCCCCAAGGAUCUCCACAAUGUGCCCGCAUCCAGGUUCUUCCCGCGACCUUCACCAGAUCGUCGGUCCACCUAGUGGGAGGUCUGCCCACAUGCUGAUAACAUGUUCCAUCGUAAUAAACUUCUUUCCGACAUAAUUUAAUAAAGAAAACACCUAAAAUGACCUAAAACCACAAUUUUAUUUUGCUUUUCACACGUCAAUAAGCCAGUGAGUUACGUUACUGUGACAGCUAAGGUAUUUUUCGAUGACAUCUUUGAAAAUUGCAACUCAUGGUAAGUUAUUUGUAUGAAAUUUAAUAAAAACUUUAGUCGCUAUCGUAUUCAUUUAGAUAGGUUUUUUACCUAACGAUUUGAGAUGAACUCAUGGUAGUGUUUUUAGUUUUGCUGUGGUUCAGCUACUAACCGCUAGAGGCGCUGUACAAUUUGCCAUACAUUUUUUUACGCCCUCGAUAGCGAGAUGCUCGGUAGGUAAACUCAUGGUAGAGGCACAGGUCAUUUUAUCAGACCUUUAUCAUCUAAAAUUGUCUAUAAGAUUAUCGCCCGUAUUCAUAAACAUUACUAUGAGGUGUCACAGUGCGCGUGCACGCACACGGUGCUCUAUUCAACGCUGUGCUUUCGAGGUGCUGCUUCGUUUGUGAAUACGGGCGUAUAUUUUGACGCGCAUCCUAGACUGGCAGGGCAUUUAGUUUUACUACAUGACCUCUAAUUUGCCAGAAGCAAAUGCAGGAUUUGGCUUACACUCCCCCCGCUGGCUGGACGGGUAUGAUGGCCUGGUGUUCGCUUAAUUUCUAUGUCCCAGACCUAGAGUUUCUAUGUCCUAGUUAGAGUAACUAACUAUCCUAAAGUAGGUAUUUGUUACAGCUGCAGAGAAUAAAAAAACUGUGCUUUUUGACAAUGUUACGCUAAAGGCACAGAAUUAUUAGGAUAUUUUUGUAGGUCAGA